GACGAACGCUGGCGGCGUGCCUAAUACAUGCAAGUUGAGCGCUGAAGGUUGGUACUUGUACCGACUGGAUGAGCAGCGAACGGGUGAGUAACGCGUGGGGAAUCUGCCUUUGAGCGGGGGACAACAUUUGGAAACGAAUGCUAAUACCGCAUAAAAACUUUAAACACAAGUUUUAAGUUUGAAAGAUGCAAUUGCAUCACUCAAAGAUGAUCCCGCGUUGUAUUAGCUAGUUGGUGAGGUAAAGGCUCACCAAGGCGAUGAUACAUAGCCGACCUGAGAGGGUGAUCGGCCACAUUGGGACGGAGACACGGCCCAAACCCCUGCGGGAGGCAGCAGUAGGGAAUCUUCGGCAAUGGACGAAAGUCUGACCGAGCAACGCCGCGUGAGUGAAGAAGGUUUUCGGAUCGUAAAACUCUGUUGGUAGAGAAGAACGUUGGUGAGAGUGGAAAGCUCAUCAAGUGACGGUAACUACCCAGAAAGGGACGGCUAACUACGUG
rnacentral:rRNA from 1 species